GCGGUGGGGCGUGCUAUACAUGCAAGUCGAGCGGACAGAAGGGAGCUUGCUCCCGGAUGUUAGCGGCGGACGGGUGAGUAACACGUGGGUAACCUGCCUGUAAGACUGGGAUAACUCCGGGAAACCGGAGCUAAUACCGGAUAGUUCCUUGAACCGCAUGGUUCAAGGAUGAAAGACGGUUUCGGCUGUCACUUACAGAUGGACCCGCGGCGCAUUAGCUAGUUGGUGAGGUAACGGCUCACCAAGGCGACGAUGCGUAGCCGACCUGAGAGGGUGAUCGGCCACACUGGGACUGAGACACGGCCCAGACUCCUACGGGAGGCAGCAGUAGGGAAUCUUCCGCAAUGGACGAAAGUCUGACGGAGCAACGCCGCGUGAGUGAUGAAGGUUUUCGGAUCGUAAAGCUCUGUUGUUAGGGAAGAACAAGUGCAAGAGUAACUGCUUGCACCUUGACGGUACCUAACCAGAAAGCCACGGCUAACUACGUGCCAGCAGCCGCGGUAAUACGUAGGUGGCAAGCGUUGUCCGGAAUUAUUGGGCGUAAAGGGCUCGCAGGCGGUUUCUUAAGUCUGAUGUGAAAGCCCCCGGCUCAACCGGGGAGGGUCAUUGGAAACUGGGAAACUUGAGUGCAGAAGAGGAGAGUGGAAUUCCACGUGUAGCGGUGAAAUGCGUAGAGAUGUGGAGGAACACCAGUGGCGAAGGCGACUCUCUGGUCUGUAACUGACGCUGAGGAGCGAAAGCGUGGGGAGCGAACAGGAUUAGAUACCCUGGUAGUCCACGCCGUAAACGAUGAGUGCUAAGUGGUUAGGGGGUUUCCGCCCCUUAGUGCUGCAGCUAACGCAUUAAGCACUCCGCCUGGGGAGUACGGUCGCAAGACUGAUACUCAAAGGAAUUGACGGGGGCCCGCACAAGCGGUGGAGCAUGUGGUUUAAUUCGAAGCAACGCGAAGACCCUUACCAGGUCUUGACAUCCUCUGACAACCCUAGAGAUAGGGCUUUCCCUUCGGGGACAGAGUGACAGG
rnacentral:rRNA from 1 species